UCGUGAUGAUUCCUUAGAUGACGAGUCUUAUCCGCGUUUGCGAUGCAGACAACAUCUUUUUUAAUACCAUUCAUGCCUUUCUGAAC
rnacentral:snoRNA from 1 species